UGGUGGGGUGACUUGUCUGGUUGAUUCCGAUAACGAACGAGACCGCAGCCUGCUAAAUAGUCGCCGGGCUCUCACGAGCUUCGUCUCGCGGCUUCUUAGAGGGACAUUCCGUUUCUAGCGGGAGGAAGUUUGCGGCAAUAACA
rnacentral:rRNA from 1 species